UGAAGUAUUUCGGUGCAUUUC
rnacentral:siRNA from 1 species